rnacentral:misc_RNA from 1 species
AUAGGGUUUUACCUCAUCUCCGAUCUCAUUUCCACCUCCGCCAUGGCCCGAUUCUCUAGAGGAUCCGCCACAUCGCGCCUCCUCUUCUCCCACUAUUCUUCCACCGCGAAAACGACAUCUCCAGCUCCAGCUCCGCCGUCUCAUUCCCCCACCGCUGCCCUGCUACUCGGCAACUUCCGCCUCCGCCAAUUCUCCAACGUCGCUCGCGCCAAGGAAGAGGAGCCAUGGUGGAAGGAGUCCAUGGAACGCCUGCGGAACAUCGGAAUCUCUGCUCACAUCGACUCCGGAAAGACCACUCUCACUGAGCGCAUCCUCUACUACACCGGCCGUAUCCAUGAGAUCCACGAGGUCCGCGGCCGCGAUGGAGUCGGCGCUAAGAUGGAUUCUAUGGACUUAGAAAGAGAAAAGGGCAUCACCAUCCAGUCCGCCGCCACAUAUUGUACUUGGAAUGGCUAUCAGAUAAAUAUAAUUGAUACACCGGGGCACGUAGAUUUUACCAUAGAGGUGGAGAGGGCUUUGCGAGUGCUGGAUGGUGCAAUUCUUGUGCUUUGUAGUGUGGGUGGAGUGCAGAGUCAGUCUAUAACGGUGGAUAGGCAAAUGAGGAGAUAUCAGGUCCCUAGACUUGCCUUUAUUAACAAACUUGAUCGAAUGGGAGCUGAUCCGUGGAAGGUUCUCAACCAGGCAAGGUCUAAACUGAGGCAUCACAGUGCAGCUAUUCAAGUUCCAAUUGGCUUGGAGGAUGAUUUUCAAGGCCUUAUUGAUCUUGUGAAGUUGAAAGCUUAUUAUUUCCAUGGCUCCAAUGGUGAAAAAGUUGUUACUGAGGAAGUGCCUGCUCAUAUGGAGGCCAUAGUUGCUGAAAAACGACGUGAACUUAUAGAAGUUGUUUCUGAAGUUGACGAUAAACUUGCUGAUGCUUUUCUUGCAGAUGAGCCUAUUUCAUCAUCAGAUCUUGAGGAGGCAAUUCGCAGGGCUACUGUAGCAAGGAAAUUUAUUCCAGUAUUCAUGGGAAGUGCAUUCAAGAACAAGGGAGUGCAACCACUUCUGGAUGGUGUGCUUAGUUAUUUGCCUUGUCCUACUGAAGUUAGUAACUUUGCUCUUGACCAAUCUAAGAAUGAAGAUAAGGUCUUGUUGGCUGGAAAUCCAGAUGGACGACUUGUGGCAUUGGCUUUUAAAUUAGAGGAAGGGCGUUUUGGUCAAUUGACAUUUCUAAGAAUCUAUGAGGGUGUCAUUCGCAAGGGUGAUUUUAUAGUGAACAUAAACACAGGCAAGAAGAUUAAGGUUCCUCGCUUGGUUCGGAUGCAUUCUAAUGAAAUGGAGGACAUUCAAGAGGCACAUGCUGGGCAAAUUGUUGCUGUAUUUGGAGUGGAUUGUGCUUCAGGAGAUACUUUUACAGAUGGAUCUAUUAGAUACACUAUGACAUCCAUGAAUGUUCCUGAGCCAGUUAUGUCAUUAGCUGUUCAACCUGUUUCAAAAGACUCUGGAGGACAAUUUUCGAAAGCUUUGAAUCGUUUUCAGAAAGAGGAUCCUACUUUCCGUGUUGGUUUGGAUCCUGAGAGUGGGCAGACAAUUAUUUCUGGGAUGGGAGAGUUGCAUCUGGACAUAUAUGUGGAGCGCAUUCGGAGAGAGUACAAGGUUGAUGCAACUGUUGGGAAACCUCGUGUUAACUUUAGAGAAACAGUUACUCAGCGUGCAGAAUUUGAUUAUUUACAUAAGAAGCAAACUGGAGGACAAGGCCAAUAUGGAAGAGUAAUUGGGUUUAUUGAGCCACUUCCAGCAGACUCGCCCACCAAAUUCCUGUUCGAGAACAUGAUGGUUGGACAAGCUAUACCAUCAGGUUUUAUUCCUGCAAUUGAAAAGGGCUUUAAAGAAGCUGCCAAUUCAGGCUCUUUAAUUGGGCAUCCAGUCGAAAAUGUUCGUAUUGUUUUAACAGAUGGUGCUUCCCAUGCCGUGGAUUCUAGUGAACUCGCAUUUAAAUUAGCAUCAAUAUAUGCUUUUAGACAGUGCUAUACAGCUGCAAAGCCCGUUAUACUGGAGCCUAUAAUGCUGGUGGAACUGAAAGUACCAACAGAAUUUCAGGGUACUGUAGCUGGUGAUAUUAACAAGAGGAAAGGUGUGAUAGUUGGAAAUGACCAGGAUGGUGAUGACUCUGUUAUAACUGCCCAUGUAAGCAUAGCUUAUCUCUUUACCAAAAUUAUAUAUGUGGAAUUUGAUGGCAUUGCUCCCAAACGGUGAAAGGGAAAAAAAUUUGAUGGAAUUUUACUACAAACAUGAAAUGAUUGGUCAUGUUUAUAUCACAUGCUGAUUAUCUAACUUUGGGACAUAAAACUGUUAAACUGACCUAAUGGAUUAUGUCAUUCUCUAAUUUACUUCAGGUUCCCCUAAACAAUAUGUUUGGGUACUCGACAUCCCUUCGUUCCAUGACACAGGGUAAAGGUGAAUUCACAAUGGAAUACAAAGAGCAUUCGCCUGUCUCACAAGAUGUGCAGAUGCAAUUGGUGAACACCUACAAGGCCACCAAGGCUGCUGAAUAGAUGGGAAUUUUGUUAAAGCUGAUGCCCCCUACACAAGUCAAAUUUUUUCACUGAAAGAUGCUAUAAUUUUUUCAUACAUAUAUAAUCUUUGCGUGAUAAAAACGUGAGAAAUAUUUAUUUUUUAUUCUGUAGCCAGUGGGUCAAUAGCAAGGAUGAGAUUCCAAUAGAGAUGGGAUUAAAGGAUAUUUUUUAAAUGCAAAUGUCACCUUGUAAUUGUAAUAAUUAUUACAUCACCUCGAAAGUUAGUUUUGCAGAAUUAUACUCUUAAUUGUUGACUAAAACAUCUGUUUUCAGCUUGAAACUGGACAAUUUCUUUGCAUUUAUGAAUUUGAAGGAGAUGAUUACGUCCUUCUUCUCAUGCUGUUUUCUUAGUUAGUAUAUGCCCUUCACCCUUUCUUCAGGUUGCUGCUGCAAUUUUGUGUGCUUAAUUUCAACCCUAGGUGCCAAAUCCAUCUCUCUUAAUGCCUCUAAUUCCUUGUCUGUGAGCUUCCAAGGAAUAGCUUUAACCAAUGUAUAAUCUUCCUUGACUUCCAUUUUUACUUUUAAAGGUGUUUUCUAGCAGCCAAAUUGUUGGCUUAUUCAUCUCUCUUGGUAUCCAUUGGAGAAACUUAGCUUGUCUAAAUCUAGUUUUAGAGGAUCCAGUUUCUCCUGCCAAGUUGUAUCCUUUCUGAAG